rnacentral:sRNA from 1 species
UUUGGGAGUGAAAUAUGAUUAGAUGUCAUGUGUAUGAGUGAGUAUAACAACUAGAACCGCAAUUGGAAUUUUAAAAGCCUAAGUAUUGUAUCCUUGUUAGAAGAUACAAAGACAAACACUCAUACGUACUUCGGCUACACCAUCAAAGCUUAGAGAAGCAAGAAGAAGCUUGGUUAGUGUUCUGGAAUCGAAUAUGACUUGAUGUGAUGUGUAUGAUUGAGUAUAAGAAAUUAAACCGCAACCGGAUCUUAAAACCUUAAGUAUUGUUUCCUUGUUAGAAGAUACAAAGGCAAAGCCUCAUACAGCCUUUAGCUAUACCAUCAAAGCCUUGAGAAGCAAUAAGAAGCUUGGUUAGUGUUUUGGAGUCAAAUAUUACUAGAUGUCAUGUGUAUGAGUGAGUAUGACAACUAGAACCAUAACCGGAUCUUAAAAACCUAAGUAUUGAAUCUUUGUUAGAAGAUACAAAGAAAAAGACUCAUACGGACUUCGACUACACUAUCAAAGCUUUGAGAAGCAAGAAGAACCUUGGUUAGUGUUUUGGAUUCGAAUAUGACUUGAUGUCAUGUGUAUGACUCAGUAUAAAAACUAGAACCGCAACAUAUCUUAGAAGCAUAAGUAUUGUAUCAUUGUUAGAAGAUUC